rnacentral:pre_miRNA from 14 species
AAAGUGAGAUGAAGCCAAGGAUGACUUGCCGGUAUAAUAGUAAUUUGCCACAAAUCUAGAUAGCUAUUAGCUAUGUUUGGAUGGGCGGUGAGAUUAACAAAAUUACAGCAGCAUUGUGAUUUUGUUGAUGCUUUAAAGUGUAGUUUUUAUCAAAAUUACAGUGGUUCACUGUAAUUAUGAGAAUCUCACCGUCAAUCUAAAUAUGCAUUUAGUUUCAUUUCCGGCAGGUCAUCCUUCGGCUAUAUUUGGCUUUCU